CACUCCAAGUCUGGUGAAAUAUUUAUAAGAAAAUAUUUUCAAUAUUUAGAGUAAGAUCAGUACCUUUGAUAUUAUAUUCAAGUCAUUUAUCACUAUUUUUUAAUGAGAUUUUUAUUUCAGCUGUUCAUUUUUAGACUACUUGUUUGAUAGCUAAAUAAUAUCGAAAAAUUAUUAAAUUUGGUUUUCAAACACUUUUAAUAGUAUAGAUCAAAUCUAACAGAGCCAAUCUUCGAUUUGGAAGCCGCAUCACCAAAAAUAAUUUAGUAGCACGGAGACCCUAUAUAUAUUUAUAUAUAUAGAGAGAGAGAGAGAGGGGGGGGGGCUAGUAUGCUUCUAGAAGGACUGAGCUCUUUGUUCUUCAAGUCAUUUUCGAUAUUGAGACUUUCAAAUCGACAAUCGGCUCCGUUAGACUGAUAUAGAAUAUUUGAAGUAUCUAAAAAAUAAAUUUUGUGAUUUUUUAUAUAAUUUGCUUAGUGAUCAAGGGGCUCAAAAUCAAUAGCUGAAAAUAUAAAUUUUACAAAAUGUGAUGAUAUGAUAUUAAAAUUUUAAAUCAAAGAUAUAUUGAUCUUAUUUUAUAUAGUAUAAAAAAUUUUCAAUCAAAAUUUUACAUGAUUUAGCUAGUAUAAUCUAACGGGUAGAAAUGAUUAAAGGGUGGAUCUGAUGGCCGAAAACUUUAUAGCACCAAGCACUUGAUACUAUCGAUAGUGUAAUAGUAUAUAGAUUAUAUGUAUGUAUGUAUGUAUGUAUGUAUGUAUAAAACAACAUGAA
rnacentral:lncRNA from 1 species